CCAAUAGCGUAUAUUAAAGUUGUUGCAGUUAAAAAGCUCGUAGUUGAAUUUCGGGGUCAGCAGGUUGGUCGUGCCUAUGGUAUGUACUGGCUUUACUGAUUCCUCCUUCUUGAAGAACUGUAAUGUCAUUAAUUUGGUGUUGCAGGGAAACAGGACUGUUACUUUGAAAAAAUUAGAGUGUUUAAAGCAGGCUAACGCUUGAACACAUUAGCAUGGAAUAAUGAAAUAGGACGUUUGAUCCUAUUUUGUUGGUUUCUAGGAUUGACGUAAUGAUUAAUAGGGAUAGUUGGGGGCAUUAGUAUUCAAUUGUCAGAGGUGAAAUUCUUGGAUUUAUUGAAGACUAACUACUGCGAAAGCAUUUGCCAAGGAUGUUUUCAUUAAUCAAGAACGAAAGUUAGGGGAUCGAAGACGAUCAGAUACCGUCGUAGUCUUAACCAUAAACUAUGCCGACUAGGGAUCGGAUGAUGUUAAUUUUUUAAUGACUCAUUCGGCGCCUUGCG
rnacentral:rRNA from 1 species